rnacentral:lncRNA from 1 species
AACACAAAAAAACACUAAUUUUCUAAAGAGUUAAAUGCAAUUUGCCUCUGGUUUAGGGGCGUUUGCAAUUUGCCUCUUAUGAUUGCAAUGUGCCCCCUUGUGCUUGCAAAAUGUAGGCGUAUACACCCAUUUUUCAAACGGGCGUUAGUUUGAUCGUUUGACUUCGGGUGAAAAGACCAAACUACCAUUUUUUUCUCGCAGCUGUAGCUGUGUGGUUUUAUUAUUAUCACAACCACCCACCACCACCGUCAUCAUCACCACCACCCCUUUUUAUUGUCCCAUACUAGUUUAUAAACUCGUGUAUUACACGGAUUAAAUAUAACACUACGUGAAAAAUGACCUACGGCCACACUUUUUCCAAAACCGGUCUGCCACACUUUUGAAAAAAUGUGUGGCUAAAAGUCAUUUAUUAUAUUUUAAAACACCUUUAGUCACACAUUUUAGUAUUAAUGUGACUAUUGUAUAACACUUCAAAACCUUUAGCCACACUUUUCGGAAAAAAAAUGUGACAUUUACUAGUCAGUUUAGCCACAACUCGAAAAAUGUAGCUAAAUAUGACCUACUGCCAUGAUAUUUGUGUAAUUUUUUUAAUUCAUGUGACGAAAACACAUCUUUUCAAAACCUUUAGUCAUAUUUUCAAUAAAAAACAAGACAAUAGCUAGUCACAAUAAAAAAAUGUAACCAAACAUUACCAACUGCUAUAGUAAAUUUUUAAUGAUGUGGCUAAAAUAUAAUACAUAUGAGCACUGAUCAAAGAGCAGUUUUUGUUAGCCACUUAUAAGUUUUAUGUGUUGCUAAAACUUACAAAUGGUCUCGAAAUAAAACAUAUGACUAUUAGACCAUAGGUAAUGGUUAAUGCCCACUAAGGGGCAUUUUUCACCACAUCAUCAUCAUAAUGCCCUUUUAAAAAAGGUGUAAUGGUUAAUGCCCAUUUCAUUUAUUACUUUCCAUUAUUUUUCUUCUCUUUGGGCAUUAUUAUAGAAAUGCCCCUCACUCUUCAUGCCCCUAUAAUGCCCAUGAGUAAUGGUGUAAGGGCAUUAUCAAAAUCUUUCAUGCCCUUAUAAAGCCCCAUUACAUAUGGUCUUAUUGGCAUAUGGUCACAGCUUCGUGACCCUCCACCUCCUUGUUGCAACCCUAAUCCAUCAUCUGCUGCCAUACGUUCAACUUUCAGCGCUUAUCCAACUGUGAGAAAAUUUUGAUAAUAUCAAAUUUCCACAGUUCAUCAACCUCGAUUGAAGCUCGUCUUGGUUUGCCGUUUAUGCCAUCAUUCUCCAUUGAGGCACUCAAGCAGCUUUCUUUGCCCCUUCAAAUGUACUUUCUCUCUCCGAUGAGAAAGAAGAUAUAAAGAAGGCUAUAAGACCGUGGGAGAUGAAAGAUGAAGAGGUGGAAUUCUUUAGGGAAAAUUUGCUGGCACUCAAGCAGUACGAGCUGUCAAGGCAGAAACAAUUGAAGAACUCGAAAGUUGCAGCUUCAGGUUCUUGUUAGACACUUAGACAUCUAUGUUGUUGGAGGGAUUUGAUGGUAAAUAACUUACUCUGUAGAUAAAGGGAUUUUCGGGUGGUUGGUGGCGUGUUGGGUAACAAAUCUAAACGGGUCUGGGUUAUCCGAGCAGUUCUUUGGUUCAGGACAAAAUUGUUUAGGUCGAGUUGACCCAAAACACUUAUUUUGUUGAAAAAUAUGGGUGUGAAAUGGUGAAAAUGUGUUUGAAAGUAUAGUUUCAGUCCAAUACUUUUUUAAGAAACAAACUUUUAAAUCAAGUUGGUAUUUUGUAUUAAAGGAAACAAUUUUUUUUUACUAAAAGUAGCUUUUUUAAAUGCAAUUAAUCAUUUGAUGAAGCUGCAAAUUAUAACUUUAUUUCAGCGACAUGGGGUGAGGUUACGGCUGGUGAGUUAAAUAUGUUGAGGGAGGGGUAGGAUUAUUGGUAUGAAGUUGCUGGUUAGUAUGAAUCUUUUAAGCAUGGGUUCCGUUUGGUUUGGUUUUAGUUUCCAGCAGUUUAGUUUCGGAAUAAACCAUAAACACCCUAGUGGGUAUAGUUAGUUGUAUUUUGUUGCAGGUUAGAUGUGCUAAUAGGUUGCUGAUUGGGGCUGCUAUGGGGAGAAUAGAGGCCAAGACGACUAGGAAGCUGAAGAGAAGAUUAAUGUCUUGUUUUUAUGAGUUUGGUUUAUUUUUUUAUUAUUGUUUCUUUGUUUGGUUUCUUUUAAGAGGUUAAUGGUUCUGGUUCUACCCCUCUUGUAAGGUAAAAGGAAUGUACCAUAUGGACCAAUGUUUUAUGAAUGGGUCGAUUUGGGUUAUUUUUUCUGUAACGGUUCAAAUGUAUUCUUUGUACUUUAUGAAUGUGUCGGUUUGGGUUAUUAUUUCUCCAACGGUUCAAAUGGAUUCUUUGUUCAGCGUGAAUUAUUUUAAGAUCUUAAUCAAUUCAA